rnacentral:rRNA from 1 species
AUUGAACGCUGGCGGCAGGCCUAACACAUGCAAGUCGAACGAGUGGCGGACGGGUGAGUAAUGUCUGGGAAACUGCUUGAUGGAUGGGGAUAACUCCUGGAACCGGUAGCUAAUACCGCAUACCUUCGGAUUUUCCCAGAUGGGAUUAGCUAGUAGGUGGGGUAAAGGCUCACCUAGGCGACGAUCCCUAGCUGGUCUGAGAGCGUGACCAGCCACACUGGAACUGAGACACGGUCCAGACUCCUACGGGAGGCAGCAGUGGGGAAUAUUGCACAAUGGGCGCAAGCCUGAUGCAGCCAUGCCGCGUGUAUGAAGAAGGUCUUCGGGUUGUAAAGUACUUUCAGCAGGGAGGCGUUACCCGCAGAAGAAGCACCGGCUAACUCCGUGCCAGCAGCCGCGGUAAUUC